rnacentral:antisense_RNA from 1 species
AAGGACUGUGCUCCCAAUCCGCUUAUGCUCAAGGAAGAACUGGAAGGCCCAGAACCAGCCUGAUGUCAGGAUCAGAACAAAAGAGGAGGACUGCAUAUGUAUGGACCCACUCCAGAUGGCACGGGGACGGGGGGGAGUAGGAAAAGUGGCAUGGUCCCUUCCCGUGGGUAUACUUCUUCCCAGGCCUGUUGUGUGAGUUGGUGUUGCCAUCAUUCCUGCCCCACACUUGCAAACUUCCCUUUGGAAUUUCAGAGACCAGGCCCACAGAGUAUGGCUGUGCAAGUUGUUUACUGUACGAGGGCACCUGGCCGGGCUCUCUGGUGGAGCCUGUCUCACAGGCCACCUGCAGGCCAACACUCCCAGAAGCAGCUAGCACCAUGGUUGACCUCGUCCAGGUCCAGGGAAGGCCUCCCUCUCCAGGACU